rnacentral:rRNA from 1 species
GACGAACGCUGGCGGCGUGCUUAACACAUGCAAGUCGAGCGGUAAGGCCCUUUCGGGGGUACACGAGCGGCGAACGGGUGAGUAACACGUGGGUGACCUGCCCUCAGCUCUGGGAUAAGCCUGGGAAACUGGGUCUAAUACUGGAUAUGACUCCACGGUGCAUGUCGUGGGGUGGAAAGCCUUGUGCGGCUGAGGAUGGGCCCGCGGCCUAUCAGCUUGUUGGGGGGUGAUGGCCUACCAAGGCGACGACGGGUAGCCGGCCUGAGAGGGCGACCGGCCACACUGGGACUGAGACACGGCCCAGGACUCCUACGGGAGGCAGCAGUGGGGAAUCUUGCGCAAUGGGCGAAAGCCUGACGCAGCGACGCCGCGUGAGGGAUGACGGCCU